GGGGAUUUAGCUCAGCUGCUCAAGCACUUGCCUGGUAAGCAUGAGGUCAUAGGUUUGAUCCCCGGUAUCCCCC
rnacentral:tRNA from 1 species